GAUGCUCCUGUUGUAUGAUUUGAUGAAUCUUGGAAUUCAAGUAUUUGUGUAGCACUGGGUCUAGAGAGAGGCUGACAUUCAGUGAAGUACCAGGUUCAAAUAAUUAGAAGAUUUUAAUUCAGGAUGAAGGGAAUAGGACAACUUCAUAUUUGGGGCUCCUGGAAGAUCAGAUGUGAAUACAGAUAUUAGAUCUGGAUCCGUGUGUACCGUGGGUCCCAUGGAGCAACCUCCAUAGUCAUUUCUCAGGCUCCUAAAUCAGGAGCUUCAAAGGUAACUCCUGGGGUGAUUUUUAGUGACUUUCCAUCAGUGUGGGUGUAAUUGCAUUGUCAAUUUUCCACUGGCUUCUUUGUAUAGUCUUCUGGUUUCCGGGUAUCCACUGGACUUGAGCUGACCCUAGACUGAUCUCAUGGCAUCUUUGGGGGACCUGAAUCAACAGCUUCCAGCUCAGAACAGUGAUUCCACCUCUCUUGGAACAGUCAUAUCUGCUGAGAAGUUUAAGGAAGGAACCUUGAGAAAGCAUCAGAGGUGGCUUUGGAGGUGGAAUCUGAAGAAACUAGAGGAGAGAAGAAAGGAAGAAUGGAUUACAAAAGAUGAGCAAGAUGCCUGGAAUUUCACACGUACAUCAUCUCUUUGGUAAUGAAGGGGAAAUCCCAGGAUGCAUCACUGCCCCAGAUAGGCCAGUGCAUCCCUGACCUAUUGAAACGAGAUAGUGGAAAACAAGGACCGAAUUAUUUCCCAAAACACCCUUUGAUUCAGUGUAGAACCCCAGUUUUCCAUACUUCCGUCUAGACUGAUGCAAUUAUACUCUGCUUCCUAAUGCACAGCUCUGCAGUUAAUAGGAACGAAGAAUACCCAUGAUCUGGUCUCUAAGGGUCCCUAAAUAGAAAUCAGGAGAACUUUUUCCCUAUCUAAUACGUAAUUCUUGGGAUGAAAAAGAUAACUUACAGGGCAAGAAGGAAGAGGGCUAGGAUGAAUUAACGUGCAUACUGUAUGGCGGCUGCUAAGCUGGGUACUUCACCACGUUUCUCUCAUUAUGUAUUUUUAUACCAACGAUGCAAUAACAGCACUGAGAAAUAAAAUAUUGCCUGCCAUAUCA
rnacentral:lncRNA from 1 species